ACCGCGGUGGUGCAGUGGUAGCACGCGUCAUCGGUGUGGAUGAAACGCGGAUUCGACUCCCGUCGCGAAUA